GAGCUGAACGGGAGCCAGAUGUGCGCGAGUCCCCCGCUCCCGCCUCCUCCCUCCUCCCGGGCAUCUUAAAACCCGGAGUUCAGAUGAAGGAGGAUCCGGAGUCACAAAGACGCGGUGCAAACAACUCGGCUCCGCGGCUCCCCCGGGAGUGGGAGCCAGAAGGGAGGGGGAGAGAAAGCCGGGCAUGCUCAGUAGACGGGACAAAGUUGUGUGUUUUUUUUUCUUCUUUUUUUCUCCGCUCUCUCUCAUUUUUUUUUCGGUCGCAAGUAGGAAGCUUUUUGCACUCCACCACCUCUGGCCGCUGGGAAGACGUCAUCGCUUCCGCCCUACUUCCUCCUCCUGUUGGCGGCGGUGAGAAUCCAAUAUGGAGUAAAUCGGUAGAGUCGAGAGAUGGGGCUCGGACGGGGCGCCCUGCACCGCCUCCCAGGCGCACCUCCCCCGGCCGCCGACCGCUCCCCGGAACCGUGAUUGGCCCGCCCCCCCCCGGGGGCGACCCCGGACAGAGCCCCCACCCGCGGCCGGCCCCCUUCUCCUCCUCUCACCAGUCUCCGCCGCUACACGGCGCGCUUGUUUUUUUUUCCCUCCUCUCCCUCACAGCCGUCCCCGGCCCAACCUCUCCCCCUCCGCCCGCUCCCGAGCCCCCGAAGCCCCCGCCCGCCUCGCCCCUCGGCGCCGCGGCGCCCCUGACCUCCCGCAGCUCGCCUUUGCACCGCUUCCCCCCAGCCACCCGCGCUCGAUCGUGCAGCUUCCCCUUCUGCCUUCUGCGGCGCCCCCUUCAUCUCCAGCCGUCCCCCCUCCCCAGCCAAAUCAGGCGAUCUCCGGAGAUGUGAAGAAGGGGGUGAGCGCGCAGGAAGAUGAAGGGAGCAAAGCUGCCCGCCGCGGGACAGGCGUCUAGGUGAACAGGAAAAUGACCGAGGAAACACACCCGGACGAGUGCUGCUGGUGCUGCUGAUCCAUGGACUCCACUUUGAGUAGCCAGGGCCUCUCUAUGGUGGGAUGAUAGGGAGCUCACGGCUGCCAGGGCUUAAAAAAGUUGUUAGUGAAUGCCAGGAGACCCAAGAGUUCCAUCACUUAACAAGAAAUGCGAAGUUCCUGCACUGGGUUUGUAAUGUCUGAUAGUCAGCUGGCACUCCCGUACCCUCCAGACAAAUCAGUCUUGUGUGGAAAGCCUGCCGCCCUGGGAAGCGGGCACGCUCAGCCCUAGAAGAAAUCACAGGAAGUAAUUAAACAGAGAAGGUCAGAGAAAGAGGAAGUGGUUGUGUUGUUUCUGAUGCGAAUUGCAUUGUUGUUCCUGGGGAUCAAGAUCAUGAUGUUUAAAUCUUCUGGAAUGUGGCUGCUUGGGGAUUUGAUUGUAUUUAAAUUGCAGCCCUUUCAGUUUAUUCUUUUAGACAGCAAUCUAGUUAGGAAAUGAAUUGCUUUUAGGUCUUAUCAGGAAUCCCCACGUGCCUAAGCAGAAGUCUUAAACAGGGAGUUGCUUAUAGCUUGGCAAAUUGCACUUAAAUGAAAUGAAUGUCAAGACUAUUAGAGGUUAAUUUUAGGUGUCUGGAGUUCUCCCUAAUUCUCCUGAUUAAACACUUUAACAUAAUAGUUUUCUUAAUUGGAAUAAUGAUAGAAUAUUAGCAUGCAUAUUAAACCAUUUACCCAAAUUUGAAUAGGGUUAAAAUGCAAAUUAGCCAUCACUUGUCUCUUUAGAGAUAAUUCCUGGGGAGAGAUGGGGAAGAGACUGGAAUAUGAAUUGGGAAUGGGCCUUUCUUCUGGCAGCAUGGCUAGGAAAGCCAAGAAUAGACCAGAGGACUGAAGUGAGAGAUCCUUUGUUUCCUCCAAAAAGAGGUUCUAAAAAUACCAGUGCCUCUGACCUACCAAGUGGAGGUAAACGCAGUGGGAAAGCUGAGUGAGCUGAGUGGCCAUCCCUUCUGGUUGACUUUGCAGUUGCCUGUCACACUUUUCUGUUAGACAGAGGUGGUAUGAGACUUAAGGCCGCUCCCCAGCAUUUAGACACCCCCUCUGAAGUCUUGAACUGAUGCCACCACCCAGCAGUUCCCAAACGAGUGGCUGGGAGCCCAUCAGCAAGCACUCUUAAGUAUUGUUUGUGAACCAAAUACAUAAAGACACCCAUAUAUAUCUGUGUUACUCUCUUUCAAUGUAUUUAUGGAAUAAGAAAAUACAACCUCAUUAAAAUA